GGCGGCGUAGCUCAGCUGGCGAGAGCGUACGGUUCAUACCCGUAAGGUCGGGGGUUCGAUCCCCUCCGCCGCUA
rnacentral:tRNA from 1 species